rnacentral:rRNA from 1 species
UGAGUACGAGAUGCUACGGCAUCGAAGCAGUCUAUGUCAUACUUCCAAGAAAAGCUUGCACUGUCAGAAACAGAUAAUGCCUGUACCAUAACCGACACAGGUGGGUAGGUAGAGUAUACUAAGGGGCGCGAGAUAACUCUCUCUAAGGAACUCGGCAAAAUGACUCCGUAACUUCGGGAGAAGGAGUGCCUUAUUUUUAAGGUUGCAAUAACAAGAUCCAAGCAACUGUUUACCAAAAACACAGGUCUCCGCUAAGUCGUAAGACGAUGUAUGGGGGCUGACGCCUGCCCAGUGCCAGAAGGUUAAAGAAGUCGGUUAGCAUUCGCGAAGCUGGUAACUGAAGCCCUGGUGAACGGCGGCCGUAUAACGGUCCUAAGGUAGCGAAAUUCCUUGUCGGGUAAGUUCCGACCCGCACGAAAGGCGUAAUGAUUUGGAUACUGUCUCGGAGAGGGGCUCGGUGAAAUAGACUUGUCUGUGAAGAUGCGGACUACCUGCACCUGGACAGAAAUACCCUAUGAAGCUUUACUGUAACUUGAAAUUGAAAUUGGACUUUAUUUGCGCAGUAUAGGUGGGAGGCGUUGAAAAUAUUCUUGCGGGAAUAUUGGAGCCAUCAGUGAGAUACCACUCUUGUAAUGUUAGAUUUCUAACUUUAUAUCAUUAUCUGGUUAAAGAACAGUUUCAGGCGGGCAGUUUGACUGGGGCGGUCGCCUCCCAAAUGGUAACGGAGGCGCACAAAGGUUUCCUCUGAACGGGUAGAAAUCGUAUCUAGAGUGUAAAGGCAUAAGGAAGCUUGACUGUGAGACCUACAAGUCGAGCAGGGACGAAAGUCGGUCUUAGUGAUCUGACGGUGCUGAGUGGAAAGGCCGUCACUCAACGGAUAAAAGUUACUCUAGGAUAACAGGCUGAUCUCCCCCAAGAGUUCACAUCGACGGGGAGGUUUGGCACCUCGAUGUCGGCUCAUCGCAUCCUGGGGCGGUAGUACGUCCCAAGGGUUGGCUGUUCGCCCAUGAAAGCGGUACGCGAGCUGGGUUCAGAACGUCGUGAGACAGUUCGGUCCAUAUCCGGUGUAGGCGUUAGAAUAUUGAGAGGAGCCUUCUUUAGUACGAGAGGACCGAGAAGGACAUACCUCUGGUGUACCAGUUAUCGUGCCAACGGUAAACGCUGGGUAGCUAUGUAUGGAGUGGAUAACCGCUGAAAGCAUCUAAGUGGGAAGCCCACCUCAAGAUAAGUAUUCUCA